rnacentral:rRNA from 1 species
GAGUUUGAUCGUGGCUCAGGAUGAACGCUGGCGGCGUGCCUAAUACAUGCAAGUCGAGCGAACGGACGAGAAGCUUGCUUCUCUGAUGUUAGCGGCGGACGGGUGAGUAACACGUGGAUAACCUACCUAUAAGACUGGGAUAACUUCGGGAAACCGGAGCUAAUACCGGAUAAUAUUUUGAACCGCAUGGUUCAAAAGUGAAAGGCGGUCUUGCUGUCACUUAUAGAUGGAUCCGCGCUGCAUUAGCUAGUUGGUAAGGUAACGGCUUACCAAGGCAACGAUGCAUAGCCGACCUGAGAGGGUGAUCGGCCACACUGGAACUGAGACACGGUCCAGACUCCUACGGGAGGCAGCAGUAGGGAAUCUUCCGCAAUGGGCGAAAGCCUGACGGAGCAACGCCGCGUGAGUGAUGAAGGUCUUCGGAUCGUAAAACUCUGUUAUUAGGGAAGAACAUAUGUGUAAGUAACUGUGCACAUCUUGACGGUACCUAAUCAGAAAGCCACGGCUAAC